AGGGAAAAGCUCAAAUUUAAAAUCUGGCAGUCUUUGGCUGUCCGAGUUGUAAUUUAGAGAAGUGUUACCCGUGCUGAACCGUGUACAAGUCUCCUGGAAUGGAGCGUCAUAGAGGGUGAGAAUCCCGUCUUUG
rnacentral:rRNA from 1 species